rnacentral:rRNA from 1 species
CCUACGGGAGGCAGCAGUAGGGAAUAUUGCUCAAUGGGGGAAACCCUGAAGCAGCAACGCCGCGUGGAGGAUGAAGGUUUUCGGAUUGUAAACUCCUUUUGUUAGAGAAGAUAAUGACUGUAUCUAACGAAUAAGCACCGGCUAACUCCGUGCCAGCAGCCGCGGUAAUACGGAGGGUGCAAGCGUUACUCGGAAUCACUGGGCGUAAAGGGCGCGUAGGCGGGUUAGCAAGUCAGAUGUGAAAUCCUAUGGCUUAACCAUAGAACUGCAAUUGAAACUGUUAGUCUAGAGUAUGGGAGAGGUAGGUGGAAUUCUUGGUGUAGGGGUAAAAUCCGUAGAGAUCAAGAGGAAUACUCAUUGCGAAGGCGACCUGCUAGAACAUAACUGACGCUGAUGCGCGAAAGCGUGGGGAGCAAACAGGAUUAGAUACCCUUGUAGUC